rnacentral:ncRNA from 16 species
CCCAAUGAUGAUGGAUCAACCGGCUGAAGUAUGAUGAGGUCCGCAUCACCUGAGG